ACCCACCGACAGCAGAUUAACAACAUGCAACAUGUGGAUCAGACUCAGUUACCAGAGGAGAGGACGGUCAGAAAGUUUCCUUUGCCAAACAGGAUCCAAACUGCACAGCCGGCAACACUCAGACCCAGAGCCUGCAGACAGAGGUCAAAGGAAGAGGGAGUUGAAAACUGCAGAGAAGAACUUCAACAGCUGAAUCUUCACCUCCAGCUUCAUCUCUCGUCACAUCUGUUCAUCAGUCUCAUCAGUUCUGGUUCUGUUCAGUCAUCAGGAGGUUCUUCAGUCGGGUUCUCCAGUGAACGUUUCACCUCCAGUCAGACUUCAGUGUGUGUCUCUCGUCCAGGAUGAACGUGUUGCUCUCUCUCUCUCUCUGGUUUGUUCUGCUGAUGCCAACCUGCUGUGGAGACGCAGGAAACCAUGAAGAAGAAGAGUUGACCACAGGCGAUUACGACUUCCUCACAGCCACAGCCACCUACGACUACGACUACACCGCCACCUUCGAAUACUACUACGUGACUGAACGUGAUGAAGCCAGGAACCAGGCCGCAGGGAUUGGUCAGCUGACCCUGCUGCUCCUCCUGGGAUUGGCUGUCCAUCAGAUCUGGAACUGAUGGGGGGCGGAGCUGAGGACCACCUGCUGACAGGUCUGUGACCUCUGACCUCUGAUCAGCUGACCACCCUCAGGACCAACCCACCACCAGCUGAUCAAUAAUUGAUCACUGUCUGAUCAUCAUCAAUCACCUGCUGACAUCACGUCUGGCUGGUUAACAUCCACACCUCAACAUGAAACAUUCAGUCUGAAAGUCAGUGUGUGUCUCUCGUCCAGGAUGAACAUGUUGCUCUCUCUCUCUCUCUGGUUUGUUCUGCUGAUGCCCACCUGCUGUGGAGACACAGGAAACCAUGAAGAAGAAGAGUUGACCACAGGUGAUAACAACUUCCUCACAGCCACAGCCACCUACGACGACUACUGGUCAAUAUCUUACUACGACUACAAAGAUUGGUAUGAACCCAUGAACCGGGCCGCAGGGAUUGGUCAGCCCACCCUGCUGCUCCUCCUGGGAUUGGCUGUCCAUCAGAUCUGGAACUGAUGGGGGGCGGAGCUGAGGACCACCUGCUGACAGGUCUGUGACCUCUGACCUCUGAUCAGCUGACCACCCUCAGGACCAACCCACCACCAGCUGAUCAAUAACUGAUCACUGUCUGAUCAUCAUCAAUCACCUGCUGACAUCACAUCUGGCUGGUUAACAUCCACACCUCAACAUGAAACAUUCAGUCUGAAAGGUGAUUGAUUUCUGAUCAAUAACUCUGAUCAGCUCUGUGUUACCAUGACAACAUGUGAACCCCAAACAGAUUUUUAAUGUCUCCAUGUUUUAUAUGUUUGAUUCUGUAAUAAAUAAUUUCACUCAGA